GACGAACGCUGGCGGCGUGCUUAACACAUGCAAGUCGAACGGAAAGGCCUGCUUUCCCUUGUAGAUUGCGGGUACUCGAGUGGCGAACGGGUGAGUAACACGUGAGUGAUCUGCCCCCAACUUGGGUAUAAGCCUGGGAAACUGGGUCUAAUUCCCGAUAGGACUGCAGGGUGGUGCCUGUGGUGGAAAACGAUUUUCUAGUGGUUGGGGAUGAGCUCGCGGCCUAUCAGCUUGUUGGUGGGGUAAUGGCCUACCAAGGCGGCGACGGGUAGCCGGCCUGAGAGGGUGGACGGCCACAUUGGGACUGAGAUACGGCCCAGACUCCUACGGGAGGCAGCAGUGGGGAAUAUUGCACAACGGGCGGAAGCCUGAUGCAGCGACGCCGCGUGGGGAUGACGGCCUUCGGGUUGUAAACUCCUUUCGACCGCGAGGAAGCCACCUGGUUGGAAGGGUGGUGACGGUAGUGGUAGAAGAAGCACCGGCUAACUACGUG
rnacentral:rRNA from 1 species